rnacentral:lncRNA from 1 species
CAGGCAUAGUGAUGCACGCCUGUAAUCCUAACUACUAGGGAGGCUGAGGCAGGAGCCUGACAAGUAGGAGCCCAGCCUGGGCAACUUGGCGAGAACCUGUCUCCAUAAGAAGGCGGGGAUGGGCAGGGGAUUUAGCUCAGUGGUUCCGCUGCCUAGAAGCGCAAGCACCCCGAGUUCCGAUCCCCUGCACCAAAAAGAAAAAAGCAAACAAAUGAAAAACACUAACUUAAUACUGAGCAAACCAACUUCUCUGCUGAGGCAGUGAAGAGGAAGCGUACGGUGGGUUCCAGCUCUUUCUACAACGAAUUAGUGAGGCGAUGUUUGCAAAAAGCUCUUUGGCAACCAAGUGCUUGACAAAUCAAUGCCAGGUAAGCUCCAGGCCGUCGGUGCGGCACCUAGCUCCAGUACUGUUGCUGGCUGGUGGACAGUUGUGGAACAUCUGGAAGAACCCCCGUCUUGAGGCUUAGGGCUGCCAGGUUGCAAUUGGAAUUUGUAGAUGGCCCUGCCCCUACCUGCAGCCAUGACCGUGAGAGGGGCAGAGAGCUGUACCCAAGGUUUCCAAGAAAGCCAGGAGGCCAGACGACGCAGGAUGGCCAUGCCAGGUUUGAUUGUCAGGGUGACCAGCCGGCACAGCUUUAUUUUGAAAAGGUGUGUUCACCUGUCCCGCCCAUGUAUGUUAGUGGCAAUGGGAUGGUUCGCAGAACAUCCUAAGGACCCUUUUACCAACGCCUUGGGGGAGUUACUGCCCCCCUUCUUCUUCUAGGUCCUCACCUUCCUCCUAGAGGAAGAAUCUUUGAGCAUUGGAAUCACCAGCCCUAGGAGUGAGGAGGAUUUGCUUCCCAUAAUCCCUCAGGGCUCAUCCGACCUCCCCCAGGUGGUAAUGUGGUGUAUCCAUCCAGAGGUCUUUGGGGCAGUCAGCAAACCAGCCGUCAGGAGCGAUCUGUCACACAGCAUCUCACGCUCCAGGCAGAAGAUCCACUCACUCAGAGAGAGUUUCCUGGCUCGGCUUGGCAAUGGUCUC